rnacentral:rRNA from 1 species
GCGUGAGGAACCUGCCUCAAAGAGGGGGACAACAGUUGGAAACGACUGCUAAUACCGCAUAAGCCCACAGCUCGGCAUCGAGCAGAGGGAAAAGGAGCAAUCCGCUUUGAGAUGGCCUCGCGUCCGAUUAGCUAGUUGGUGAGGUAAUGGCCCGCCAAGGCAAUGAUCAGUAGCCGGUCUGAGAGGAUGAACGGCCACAUUGGGACUGAGACACGGCCCAGACUCCUACGGGAGGCAGCAUG